UACAGAGGUCUCAGGCGUUGUUCGGAUUCAUUGGGCGUAAAGGGUGUGUAGGUGGCGCGCUAAGUCGGGUGUGAAAUUUCGGAGCUUAACUCCGAAACUGCAUUCGAUACUGGCGUGCUUGGGGACUGGAGAGGAGACUGGAAUUCAUGGUGUAGCAGUGAAAUGCGUAGAGAUCAUGAGGAAGACCAGUGGCGAAGGCGGGUCUCUGGACAAUUCCUGACACUGAGACACGAAGGCCAGGGGAGCAAACGGG
rnacentral:rRNA from 1 species